rnacentral:rRNA from 1 species
AGCGCAGGCGGUUUCUUAAGUCUGAUGUGAAAGCCCCCGGCUCAACCGGGGAGGGUCAUUGGAAACUGGGAGACUUGAGUGCAGAAGAGGAGAGUGGAAUUCCAUGUGUAGCGGUGAAAUGCGUAGAUAUAUGGAGGAACACCAGUGGCGAAGGCGGCCUACUGGGCACCAACUGACGCUGAGGCUCGAAAGUGUGGGUAGCAAACA